rnacentral:rRNA from 1 species
CGCGUAGGCGGCCUCGCAUGUCUUUCGUGAAAUCCCUCGGCUUAACUGAGGACGUGCGGAAGAAACUGCGGGGCUCGAGUCCGGGAGAGGGGGGUGGGAAUUCCCAGUGUAGCGGUGAAAUGCGUAGAUAUUGGGAGGAACACCGGUGGCGAAGGCGGCCCCCUGGACCGGUACUGACGCUGAGGCGCGAAAGCGUGGGGAGCAAACG